UAGCUGAAUAAAUAGUGAAGUCAAUU
rnacentral:piRNA from 1 species